GUGGUUACAACUAAGAGUAAAUGGUGGAUGCCUUGACAUCAAAAGACGAUGAAGGACGUCGCAGCCUGCGAUAAGCCUCGGGGAGCUGGCAAGCAAGCUUUGAUCCGGGGAUGUCCGAAUGGGGAAACCCUCUCCGCCUUAAAAUCGGAGAAUCACUGACUGAAUUCAUAGGUCAGUGAAGACAACCUGGGGAACUGAAACAUCUUAGUACCCAGAGGAAGAGAAAGAAAAAUACAUUAGUUAUUAGAUCGUGGCGGCUAAGCAUUAGCCGUCGCGCCUCUAAUGGCUAAUUUCGAUUCCCCCAGUAGUGGCGAGCGAAAAGGGAACAGCCCAAACCACCGCAGUGUAGUUUGUCUAAAUUUUGAAUCGCAAGAUUCAGAGUCAGAUGGACGAAAGGUUCAAGCCGUUGCUGCGAGUGGGGUUGAAAGCAAGUUACGUUUUCGGGACUUGAAAUUCCGUAGCAGAGAAAUAAGAGGUUACCUUCCUAGCAGAAGCCGCUGGAAAGCGGCGCCAAAGUGGGUGAUAGCCCCGUACGCGAAAGGAGUAAUCGCUCUGCGGUAGCUUGUUGGAGUACUUCGGGACUCGUGAAAUCCCGUGGGAAGCAAGCGCGACUAUGCGCUAAGGCUAAAUACUUUUGAUGAUCGAUAGUGAACAAGUACCGUGAGGGAAAGGUGAAAAGCACCCCGGUGAGGGGAAUGAAAUAGUAUCUGAAACCAUUUACUUACAAAGAGUCAGAGCCGUUGCUUCACAACGGAAAUUUCAAAUUUCAAAUAACAAGUAACAAAAAAAUUUCAAAUCCCAAAAAUCAAAAUCCAAGCUUCAUAGUUUGGAAAUUGAAAUUUGUAGAUUGAAUAUUUUUUGUAACUUGGAAUUUGUUUCUUGGAGCUUCCAUUGCGGAGCAAUGGUGAUGGCGUUCCUAUUGAAGAAUGAACCAACGAGUGUAUUAGGUGUUGCCUUAAUCUAAUCCCUAAGGGGAGAAGGUAUAGCGAAAGCAAGUCUUAACCGGCGAUCUUAGUUAAUUAGCCAGCCAAGCGCAAGCUUGGUGGGCUCAUUUACUAAACGGCAGCAUUUAUACGACCCGAAACCAGGUGAGCUAGCCAUAGCCAGGGUGAAGCGGCAGUAAAAUGCCGUGGAGGCCCGAACCCACUAGUCGUGCAACGCUAGGGGAUGAGCGGUGGUUAGAGGAGAAAUUCCAAUCGAACCUGGAAAUAGCUGGUUCUACCCGAAAUAGCUUUAGGGCUAGCCCUAAAUGUUUCCUUUUGGUGGUAGAGCACUGGAUGGGACAGGGUGGGAAACCUUACCUGUCCUAAUCAAACUCCGAAUGCCAGAAGGUUAAAAUUUAGGAGUCAGACGAUGGGGGCUAAGCUUCAUCAGUCAAAAGGGAAACAGCCCAGAUCUCAAUCUAAGGUCCCUAAAUUCAAGUUAAGUGUCAAAGGUGGUGUUAGUUCUUGGACAACUAGGAGGUUGGCUUAGAAGCAGCCAUCCUUUAAAGAAAGCGUAACAGCUCACUGGUCCAGAGCUUUCGCGCCGAAAAUGUAUCGGGGCUAAAACUUGGUACCGAAGAUGAGGGCCUGUCGAGCGCAAGCUUGGCGGGCGGUAGGGUAGCAUUCCCUGUCCGCUGAAGUCGCCGGCGCGAGCCGCGGUGGAGGACAGGGAAGAGAGAAUGUUGGUAUAAGUAACAAAAAUCUCGGUGAAAAUCCGGGACACCGAAAACCCAAGGUUUCCUGGGCAAUGCCUGUCAUCCCAGGGUUAGGCGAUCCUAAGGCGAGGCCGAAAGGCGUAGUCGAUGGAAGAGCAGGUUAAUAUUCCUGCCCUGUCUGAAUUUUCCGAUGGAGCAACGCUAUCCCCAGCUUAAUUGCGUUUUAUUGGAUUGAAGCGUUUGCCGAAAGUGGAUUCUUUUAUGGCAAAUCCAUAGAAGAGUUAAGUCCGUUUUCGGCGAGAAGACCGCGAUUCGUCAAGGUCAACGUUAGGGGAGGGAUAGCCAAGAAAAACUUCUAGGGCUAAGAUUCAGGCAACCGUACCGUAAACCGACACAGGUGGGUGAGGCGAGAAGCCUCAGGUGUACGAGAGAACCCUCGUUAAGGAACUCGGCAAUGCAAGCGGUCGUAAGUUCGCAAUAAGACCUGCCCCGACGUAAAGUCGGGGCCGCAGCAAAAGACUUCAAGCGACUGUUUAUCAAAAACACAGGUCCCUGCUCAAACCGUAAGGUGAGGUAUAGGGGCUGAUGCCUGGCCAGUGUCAGAACGUUAAGGUGAGGGGUGCAAGCCUCGAGCUGAAGCGCUGAUGAACGCCGGCCGUAACUAUAACGGUCCUAAGGUAGCGAAAUUCCUUGUCGGGUAAGUUCCGACCUGCACGAAUGGCACAACGACUUGAAGACUGUCUCAACGAGGGACUCGGUGAAAUUGCAAUGUGAGU
rfam:Candidatus Komeilibacteria bacterium RIFCSPLOWO2_01_FTLL_45_10 rifcsplowo2_01_scaffold_19604, whole genome shotgun sequence.